CGUGGGCGCGCGGGAGAGUGCGACAGGUCUUUCAGGCCAUCACGUCGCCGCCGAAGGAGCAACCACCCCGGAAUCUCUCAGGCAUCAGGGACCGCGCUUGCCCG
rnacentral:ncRNA from 2 species